GAAAAAGAUAACAUUAAAGAUGUUGGCUUUUAACUUUGAAGUAAAAUUAGAGGAAAGCUGUCCCAACACAAGAACAACCACAUUCUUCAGGAGUAGCAAAAUUACAUUCACAAUAGACACAAAAAUUUGUUUCAACCUCCACCUCUGCCCCCCAACAAAUAUAGGACCAGAACGAAACCAUUAACACCAAAUGCAGCGAGAGCCAAAUAUACCCUAGUAAUAUUGGCAAAAGAGGGGAAGCGGAGAGAAAUGAGAAGAGCAAACAAAAAGACAAUGCCUUGACACACAGCAGCCUGAUAUCAGAUCAGACAGAAAAACUGGCUUUCAGCAAGGUUCCCAUUAAUAUGUUACACACAAGGAUAAGUGUGAAGUCCUUGAACUUCAACAACCUGCUUAAGAAAGCUUCUCAAGAUAAGGAAGAAGUUUGAACAGGUAAUUUGCUGUCUAUUAUCGGUCCUUUUUUGUAGAGCUGAAAAUUUUCCCAGAAAUAUCAGACUUCAACUUCCAUGUAAAUAAGACAAUAUCUUGAAGUACAUGAUCUAUUUCUUCCUCUUUCUUUUCAUAUAUGUAAAACAAAUUAAAGGCACCUGGGAUUCCUAUGGCAAACAAACUCUGCAGAGAAAUUGUUCCAAGGAUACUUAGAAUCAAUAGAGAGAGAGCCACCUUAAGGAAGAACAUGCAAUCAGCACCUUUACAAAGAGAUUUUAAAC
rnacentral:misc_RNA from 1 species